UAACACCAUUUGAUGGCAUGUCAGUGCGCUAGGCGCUAAUUACUAACCACUAAACCUAACCCUAACCACUAAUAGCGCUAGCCGCUAAUUGUGCUAAUGGCAUGUUAUUUUACGUGGAGUAAAUAUACACGCUGACAGCUUAUAAUGCGUACAGAUAAGACGCCAAUUAAAAGUGGCAUGUUAAUGUACACAGGUCCAUGAUGACCCCAUCCAUCCUC